CUCAAUGAAUUUUCAAUAGCCGCAUCAUCGUGCUAAGGUAGCAUAAUCAUUUGUCUUUUAAUUAAAGACUAGAACAAAAGAUUCAACAUUUUUAUUUCUUUCUAAUUCACAUUAAUUUAAUUUAUUUUAAAUAUAAAAAAAUAUUUAUUUUAAAAAAAGACGACAAGACCCUAUUGAACUUAACUAAAGUUAAACUGGGGAAGUUAAUUAAAUAUAAUUUUAAUCUAAAUAUUAAAAACACCUAAUAAAAUUAAAAUAAUCAAGUUACCAUAGGGAUAACAGCGUAAUAACUUUCUUUAGAUCUUAUUAAAAAAGUUGUUUACGACCUCGAUGUUGAAUUAAUAUCCUAUUACAUGCAAUAAUUUAAUAAGGAAGUC
rnacentral:rRNA from 1 species